rnacentral:ncRNA from 1 species
GAACGCCGUGUGAGUUCGAAAGUCUCAUGCACGGUGUGAAGUGGGGGAAAACAGUUCUGACCGAGUCAUGUCGAAGAUGUCUGUUACCUAUCACUAU